CACUGAUUUUCGGGGAAUUUCUGGACAAUUUCAAGCUUUUGGACACGUUGAAUGCUGAAUCAGCUUUAUUCUUAUCAAGAAGUUACAGGAACUGAAACAGCCACCAUGGUUCUAUUCAGUCAUAUUAUCUUAAUAGAAAAGCGGUUUCGCUGCUAGCGUAUCCCAUGACCUUCAACAGCAGGCGACAUCGAGGCUGUUGUUAUUUAAUGCAGAUGCUCCAAUUUUCAUUUGAAGGUCUUCUCCGGAUGACUGCCUCUGCUGAUGAAGAUCUUAUGAUUCCAUCAACGGCUCCACUACAGCUGCUGAAUGAACCUCAGAUGAGGCGCAUUUUCAUGCUUAGCACCUUGGCCAGGGAAUAACUUACAAAGAGAUCUUAAAUUAGACGCAUGUAUCUGCACUGAUGACUUUGAUUAGGAAUGUGGUAAAGGUCUAAAAGCUAUAUGAUGCUUAUAGAUGUAACACUGGUAGAAUGCGCCAAAGCACCCUACUGGUGCAUCACACAGGUGUAUUCAAAUAAAGAGAAAAUAAAAAUA